UACAGAGGUCUCAAGCGUUGUUCGGAUUCAUUGGGCGUAAAGGGUGCGUAGGUGGCGCCGUAAGUCGGGUGUGAAAUUUCGGAGCUUAACUCCGAAACUGCAUUCGAUACUGCGGUGCUUGAGGACUGGAGAGGAGACUGGAAUUCAUGGUGUAGCAGUGAAAUGCGUAGAUAUCAGGAGGAAUACCGGUGGCGAAAGCGACUCUCUGGACGGCAACUGACGCUGAGGCACGAAAGCGUGGGGAGCAAACAGG
rnacentral:rRNA from 1 species